rnacentral:piRNA from 1 species
UNUGCAGGCAGUCAUGAGGUGCCUUCAUG